ensembl:lncRNA
AUUUAAAUGUGUUUCACAUCGUUAUGAAAAUACUUGUUGAUUAAUCAAGUUACUGCAUAUUGGCAUCGGAUCAGUUGGACCAUACCCGUAUCUUGGAAGAAUCUACUUUUUUUUUUAUUUUUUUUUUACACAUAGGCCUAGACAUUCUUAACUUCUCGAACCAACGUGGGGAUUUGCAAUGCGUAAAUGAGGCGGAACUCAACAUCAUUUUUUAGAUUUAGAUUGUGUGUGUGUGUGUGUGUGUGUGUGUGUGUGUGUGUGUGUGUGUGUGUGUGUGUGUUUGGGUGCGUGUGGUGGGUUUGUAUGUAGACGUUUGUGUGUCAGAGGUUUAUACAGAAAUGGAAAGUGCCUAUAAUAACUUCAUUAUACUGGUAGCAUUGUUCUUAUUUCUUUUUGGAAUUGUUUACUAUUGAAAAGGCUCACUGGCGGUUCACAAAGGUAGGGACAGACAAAAUAUGCCUUUAUUUUCCUGAAGCAUGUGGUGAAAUAACCGUCUGAACGACCGCAUCAAUGAAUACGUUAAGUUAUAAAAGGUUUAAGGGUUUGGGAAGGCUACAGUACUAUGACCAAUAACUGCAACAACAGCAUUUUUUUGGGUCGUAAUGUUUUGGAAUAUCUUUUAUGUGUUGGUCUUUGAAGUAUCAAUGAAGAAGAGUCUGACAACACUUUAAAUGGUCCUGAGAUAUACUUUCAUAGACCUAUAAAGAUUGUCAUUGUUCUAACCUUUACUCACAUUAUUAAUAAAAUGGUGUAUUAAAUCGAUUUCUAAGUUACAUUCAGACAUGAACCUUUCAUUAGGACGACGAAGAGAUUUUGGAUAUGAAAAGUGUCUAAUAAAUAAAUAAUAUUGCUUUGUCUGACAAAAUGGUAAGAAUUCAAUUAUAUAUGUUAUCCACCAGCAGGUGUCGCAAAUGUAACAUAACUGACCCCGAUAGUACUCCAUCACUCCCCUCUUCUAAAUAAAUGAAAGUGAAAUGAAACAGAUUCAAACUUUACAAAAAAAUGGGCAAUGUUUGUUUCAUACAUUUGAAACGCAGACUUCCUAUUUUCAUCGUCAUCAGCUGGUAAAACUAUUACAAUUAUAGCUGUGAGGUUUUGUAAUUCAGCCCUUACUCGAGAUACACACACUCUUGAAACAUAAUGCAAAAAAUCAUGUAAUAUUGCCUAAUUUAUUAAGCUGUUAAGCUAUGAAUCAAUUGUGUCUUGUGUACA